rnacentral:rRNA from 1 species
GACGUAGGGGGCCAGCGUUGUUCGGAAUUACUGGGUGUAAAGGGUUCGUAGGCGGUGUGGCAAGUCGGGAGUGAAAUCUCUGGGCUCAACCCAGAGACUGCUUCCGAAACUGCUGUGCUUGAGUGUGAGAGAGGCUCGUGGAAUUGCAGGUGUAGCGGUGAAAUGCGUAGAUAUCUGCAGGAACACCCGUGGCGAAGGCGGCAUCCUGGACCGGUAUUGACGCUGAGGCGCGAAAGCCAGGGGAGCAAACGGG